AAACACCAUUUCUAUUAAG
rnacentral:snRNA from 1 species